rnacentral:rRNA from 1 species
UUGAAAGGGAAACGAUUGAAGUCAGUCGUACCGACGAGAAAUCAGCUUUUCGAAUGUGCAUUUGUGGGCGUAUGAGAUCUUCAUUGUUUGCAAUAUGUAUAUUUCUUUGGUGUACUUUUUCGUAUGGUAGGUCAACGUCGGUUUUGAUCGCCAUAAAAUGAUCGGAGGAAUGUAGCUUCGGCUUCGGUUGAAGUGUUAUAGCCUUUGGUAAAUGUGGUGAUUAGGACCGAGGAUUGCAACGAAUACCUUUUUGGGCUAUCCGCCUGAUCUCUGAUACGUGGCCUUGGUAUCGAAAGCUUGCUUAUGGUAUUAAGGUAUUACGGUCAAAAGGUUAGAACGGAUUACAUUCGUUAAGGAUGUUGACGUA